rnacentral:rRNA from 1 species
AUACGGAGGGGGCUAGCGUUGUUCGGAAUUACUGGGCGUAAAGCGCACGUAGGCGGUUUACCUAGUUAGGCGUGAAAGCCCUGGGCUCAACCCAGGAACUGCGUUUAAUACUGGUAGACUAGAGACCGAGAGAGGAUGGCGGAAUUCCCAGUGUAGAGGUGAAAUUCGUAGAUAUUGGGAAGAACACCGGUUGCGAAGGCGGCCAUCUGGAUCGGAACUGACGCUGAGGUGCGAAAGCGUGGGGAGCAAACAGAAUUAGAAACCCCGGUAGUCC